GGGGGUGUAGCUCACUUGGUAGAGCGCGUCAUUUGCACUGUCGAAUACAGUAGGAAUUGACGAGGUACUGUGUUCGAUCCCCAGCUCCUCCA
rfam:Cryptococcus gattii R265 unplaced genomic scaffold supercont2.3, whole genome shotgun sequence.